rnacentral:lncRNA from 1 species
UAAGUUUUAAUUUCAGUUUACUGUUUGCUGUAGCUUGCAUGAGGUGAUCACUGUUCUAGCUUCCAAAUGUAAGGGGAAAGUAAUGGAUGCACUGUUGUAGCAGAGGAGCAGUGACCAUAUUUAGCAUAUUCUCAUGUAUGAGGAUGAAACAGAUGUAGAAAUAAGCUGUUGUGAAAAGCAGAUGAGAAGAUUAUUUAUCAAAAAAGUGAGCAGUCACUAAAGGCUUUUGUUAGGAUGUGCUGACAACUGGCUAAGAGUUGUGAAAUGUGGUCAGACAAAGAAGACAAAAUUAGGGAUUCAUUGGUGACUGGUACUGUUGAUAAGGAACUGUCAUUAAGGUCCAGAGUACGAUCUGAUAGUGGAGGAAGCUAUUCAUCUAGCUCAUCACACUCAGUUCAUUAGCAAACAAAACACUGUUGCAGGGAACUGCUAAGAGGGUGGACAUGUUUUCUUAACAGUCAGAAAAACAGAAAAGAAUGUGUUGCAUAAAGUUAAUGGAGGUAACAGUGGAAUAUGUGUGUAGCAUAAAAACAAGCAUGCUUACAUCCACACAGCAGAAAGAUGAAAAAGUCCAGCACAUACAAGAACAUGUAGAAAAGCAAGGGGCUGUUUGUUAGCAUCAAACGACUGGGAAAAAAUAAUGAGCACUCGAAAAUGAUAAAUUAUACAUGAAUAUUUUGUGUGAGUCUACAGUAAUUGCCUGGCAAUGUGAACCAGCUGUGCUUUCAAAGCAUACUUGCAGAAAAGUUCUGGGUUAGGUUGUGAAGCACUUUUCCUCCACUCUCCUGAGUGCCUGCCAGUAGUAGGUCUGAAGUGAAGAGCUUGGUUCUAGAGUUCCUGGUUUCUGGAUCUCUGUCCUGGCCUCAUGUGGAGGUGGUGGGCAUGCAGAGAGACAAACAAGAGAAGAGGAAUAAUGGAGUUCUUCUGCUUCCAAGCCUGCGCAUUGUGGCUUCAAGGUGCUGGAAAAAGGUCACAGGAGCACAUUUGGCUUCCAAAGAAGUUCCCAGCUGUAAUAAGAAUCCAUGAAACUCAAAACUUUUCACCAGUUUCUAAGGAACAUGCUUCUGAUAAACAGAAAACUGUUACCUGUCUUAAGCCAUAUGCAAUCAUAUGACCAAUCUACAAUUUCAGAUGUGCUUAGCAUUCUUACCUUCUGAUUAUCUUUGGUGUUGCUUUCAUGGCUUAAUGUAUGUUUGAAGAAGGCAAAGGAGAGAGGGGGAAUGAGGAUGAAAAUCAUUGUUUGAAUAAAGAAGCCUUGGUAUACUAAAGAGAAAAAUAU